AAAACACAACUGCACAGGAUUAUGAGAAUUAGGAAAAAGAAUACUAAAAGAAACUAGAGAUAAAGUUGAGGAGGCAGAUUUGCUAUUGCCCUCUCAUACACAUCCUCAAUCCUCUGCCUAUUCCCACAGUUCUCUUCAAGACGAAUAGUUGGCUGAGAGCAGCGGCGGAUCCAGGUGGGAUCCCCUGGGGUCGGCCGACCCCACCGGCAGUCCACCGAACACUGUCAGAAAACAUCAACUUCGACCUUUGACACAGCAGCAGCUCCGCCUCCGACCCCACGUCAGGCUUCAACUCCAUAAGCCUCCUACGUUUUCCAAAUAAUGAGAGGAAGAACGAACAAUAAAUACUAGUAAUAAAAAUAGAUGAGAGACAUUGAGGAGGGGUUGCAGAAAUUUCAGGGAAUCUGCGUUCAAAGAUGAAAACGACGAUGCCUAAUUCCCUUAUCAGUUAGGUUAAAAUAUUGAAAAUUAUGGGCCUAUUUUACUCUUAUUUUGUUGGGCCAGCUGGUAGCAAUUAAAUACUAAGCCUAAUUGGAGUAUAAUUU